rnacentral:rRNA from 1 species
UUCCCUUCGGGGACAUUGGUGACAGGUGGUGCAUGGUUGUCGUCAGCUCGUGUCGUGAGAUGUUGGGUUAAGUCCCGCAACGAGCGCAACCCUUGUCUUUAGUUGCCAUCAUUAAGUUGGGCACUCUAGAGAGACUGCCAGGGAUAACCUGGAGGAAGGUGGGGAUGACGUCAAAUCAUCAUGCCCCUUAUGCUUAGGGCUACACACGUGCUACAAUGGGUAGUACAGAGGGUUGCCAAGCCGUAAGGUGGAGCUAAUCCCUUAAAGCUACUCUCAGUUCGGAUUGUAGGCUGAAACUCGCCUACAUGAAGCUGGAGUUACUAGUAAUCGCAGAUCAGAAUGCUGCGGUGAAUGCGUUCCCAGGUCUUGUACACACCGCCCGUCACACCACGGGAGUUGGAGACGCCCGAAGCCGAUUAUCUAACCUUUUGGAAGAAGUCGUCGAAGGUGGAAUCAAUAACUGGGGUGAAGUCGUAACAAGGUAGCCGUAUCGGAAGGUGCGGCUGGAUCACCUCCUUUCUAAGGA